AUUACAUGAUGGGGACAUUUCCGAAUAAGAUCCUUAAAUCUCUCCAAUGCAUCUGAAACCACUUCAUCCUCAGUUUGUUGAAACAUUAAAAUGUCAUUUCUAAACUU